rnacentral:lncRNA from 1 species
GGUUUUGUUCAAUAAAAGUUUCGAUUUUUAAUUCUCUAUAACAGUUGUUUUUAUUGUCUAAUCUCCUGGAAAACUGGUUUUUGUGAGAGGUUGUACUUGAACGCAUGAUUGAGAGUCUUCCUUAUCUUAAACUUUGGUUUCUUAGUUAGUUCGCAUUGUUCUAAUUAAUUUCUUGGGCGCAUGAUUCAAGGGAGAGGAGAUAAGUAUUCCCAUGGAGUAUACGCAUGGAACAAAGUGGGUAUUGAUUAAACUAGUAGACGCAUGCUUUACUGGUGAGUUUCAGUUGAAUUAGAUCGGCGCAUGUUCAAUCUGGUUUAGCUCUGUUGGAGGAUUGAGAAAAGAUUAAUCUUUAGAGAACCUGUGAAGAAUUCAAUGGUGGAAGAACUUGGGAUCAACCGCUUUUUAUUUG